CCUACGGGUGGCAGCAGUAGGGAAUUUUCGGCACUGGGGGGAACCCUGACCGAGCAACGCCGCGUGAAGGAAGAAGGAAUUCGUUCUGUCAACUUCUGUUAUCAAGGAAGAAAGACGGAUGGAGGAAAUGACAUCCGAGUGACGGUACUUUGUGAGAAAGCCACGGCAAACUACGUGCAAGCAGCCGCGGUAAUACGUAGGUGGCAAGGGUUAUCCGGAAUUAUGGGGGGUAAAGGUGGAGCAGGCGGCAGCAAAGGUCUGUGGUGAAAGACUGAAGCUUAACUUCGGUAAGCCAUAGAAACCGGGCAGCUAGAGUGCAGGAGAGGAUCGUGGAAUUCCAUGUGUAGCGGUGAAAUGCGUAGAUAUAAGGAGGAACACCAGUGGCGAAGGCGACGAUCUGGCCUGCAACUGACGCUCAGGCCCGAAAGCGUGGGUAUCGAACAGGAUUAGAUACCCCUGUAGUC
rnacentral:rRNA from 1 species